UACAGAGGGGGCAAGCGUUAUUCGGAAUUAUUGGGCGUAAAGAGCUCGUAGGCGGUCUGUUGCGUCUGCUGUGAAAACCCGGGGCUUAACCCCUGGCUUGCAGUGGAUACGGACAGACUAGAGGUAGGUAGGGGAGAAUGGAAUUCCCGGUGUAGCGGUGAAAUGCGCAGAUAUCGGGAGGAACACCGGUGGCGAAGGCGGUUCUCUGGGCCUUACCUGACGCUGAGGAGCGAAAGCGUGGGGAGCGAACAGG
rnacentral:rRNA from 1 species